rnacentral:misc_RNA from 1 species
GUUAGAUUCACUUCACCACCUCGCUGAGGAAGUGUGCUCGGAUCAUGCUUGAAAAAGACCAAAGAUGUGCGUGUAAGGAUGAACCAGCGCUUUUUCCAAGACUUCCAACCUAGUCCUUUGGAAGAGAUGAAUAGUGGUCCACUCUUGAAAACCGCAGAAGAAGAACCAAUUCUUGGACGCUCAAAUGCAGCAAGUGAAGCAGACAUUUCCCUUCUUGGGGGUUCAAUAAACUAAAGCAAAAAACAUAAACAUUGCACCAUAAUACAGCAAAAUCAAGAAAAUGGGGUUGUUUCAGAUCAAGAAAAAAAC